GGAACUCCAUGUGUAGCGGUGGAAUGCGUAGAUAUAUGGAAGAACACCAGUGGCGAAGGCGGCUACCUGGUCUGCAACUGACGCUGAGACUCGAAAGCAUGGGUAGCGAACAGGAUUAGAUACCCUGGUAGUCCAUGCCGUAAACGAUGAGUGCUAGGUGUUGGAGGGUUUCCGCCCUUCAGUGCCGGAGCUAACGCAUUAAGCACUCCGCCUGGGGAGUACGACCGCAAGGUUGAAACUCAAAGGAAUUGACGGGGGCCCGCACAAGCGGUGGAGCAUGUGGUUUAAUUCGAAGCUACGCGAAGAACCUUACCAGGUCUUGACAUCUUGCGCCAACCCUAGAGAUAGGGCGUUUCCUUCGGGAACGCAAUGACAGGUGGUGCAUGGUCGUCGUCAGCUCGUGUCGUGAGAUGUUGGGUUAAGUCCCGCAACGAGCGCAACCCUUGUUACUAGUUGCCAGCAUUAAGUUGGGCACUCUAGUGAGACUGCCGGUGACAAACCGGAGGAAGGUGGGGACGACGUCAGAUCAUCAUGCCCCUUAUGACCUGGGCUACACACGUGCUACAAUGGACGGUACAACGAGUCGCGAACUCGCGAGGGCAAGCAAAUCUCUUAAAACCGUUCUCAGUUCGGACUGCAGGCUGCAACUCGCCUGCACGAAGUCGGAAUCGCUAGUAAUCGCGGAUCAGCAUGC
rnacentral:rRNA from 2 species